rnacentral:rRNA from 1 species
GAUGAACGCUAGCGGCAGGCCUAACACAUGCAAGUCGAGGGAGAAGCCCUUUCGGGGGCAGAAACCGGCGCACGGGUGCGUAACGCGUAUGCAACCUACCUUUCACAGGGGGAUAGCCCGAAGAAAUUUGGAUUAAUACCCCAUAAUAUUAUUGGAUGGCAUCAUUUGAUAAUUAAAACUGCGGUGGUGAAAGAUGGGCAUGCGUCCUAUUAGCUAGUUGGAGUGGUAACGGCACCCCAAGGCUACGAUAGGUAGGGGUCCUGAGAGGGAGAUCCCCCACACUGGUACUGAGACAGGGACCAGACUCCUACGGGAGGCAGCAGUGAGGAAUAUGGGUCAAUGGUCGGAAGACUGAACCAGCCAUGCCGCGUGCAGGAAGAAUGCCUUAUGGGUUGUAAACUGCUUUUAUAUGGGAAGAAUAAGGCGUACGUGUACGUUGAUGACGGUACCAUAUGAAUAAGCAUCGGCUAACUCCGUG